rnacentral:rRNA from 1 species
UACGUAGGCAGCAAGCGUUUGUUCGGAAUUACUGGGCGUAAAGAGUGUGUAGGCGGUGCUCUAAGUUCGGUGUGAAAUCUCCCGGCUUAACUGGGAGGGUGCGCCGGAAACUGGAGUGCUUGAGCGCGGGAGAGGAAAGCGGAAUUCCUGGUGUAGCGGUGAAAUGCGUAGAUAUCAGGAGGAACAUCUGUGGUGUAGACGGCUUUCUGGACCGUAGCUGACGCUGAGACACGAAAGCGUGGGUAGCAAACAGG